UACAGAGGGGGCGAGCGUUGUUCGGAAUUACUGGGCGUAAAGGGCUCGUAGGCGGCCAACUAAGUCAGACGUGAAAUCCCUCGGCUUAACCGGGGAACUGCAUCUGAUACUGGAUGGCUUGAGUUCGGGAGAAGGAUGUGGAAUUCCAGGUGUAGCGGUGAAAUGCGUAGAUAUCUGGAGGAACACCGGUGGCGAAGGCGGCAUCCUGGACCGACACUGACGCUGAGGAGCGAAAGCCAGGGGAGCAAACGGG
rnacentral:rRNA from 1 species